AUAUGAUGCUCUUAAUCAACAUUAAGUUGAAUCGGUUCAAAUGAAAAUCAACCUACAGUUCCUUGUAAAACUGUUCGAACUGUUCUGCGAGUUGGGAGAAUUCGUACAAGCAAAGUUAUCGUUAAGACGCAUCGGUUUAGCUAAAAUUGUAGCCUACAUUUGUGUGUCU